rnacentral:rRNA from 1 species
GAUGAACGCUAGCGGCAGGCUUAAUACAUGCAAGUCGAGGGGCAGCAUGAUUGUAGCAAUACAAUUGAUGGCGACCGGCAAACGGGUGCGGAACACGUACACAACCUUCCAACAAGUGGGGGAUAGCCCAGAGAAAUUUGGAUUAAUACCCCGUAACAUAGCGAUGUGGCAUCACAUUGCUAUUAUAGAUUUUUCGCUUGUUGAUGGGUGUGCGGCUGAUUAGAUAGUUGGCGGGGUAACGGCCCACCAAGUCUACGAUCAGUAGCUGAUGUGAGAGCAUGAUCAGCCACACGGGCACUGAGACACGGGCCCGACUCCUACGGGGGGCAGCAGUAAGGAAUAUUGGACAAUGGACGCAAGUCUGAUCCAGCCAUGCCGCGUGAAGGAUUAAGGUCCUCUGGAUUGUAAACUUCUUUUAUAAGGGACGAAAAAAGGCUUUUCUAAGUCGUCUGACGGUACCUUAUGAAUAAGCACCGGAUAACUCCGUGCCAGCCGCCGCCGUAACAC